UUCACGGAGAGUUUGAUCCUGGCUCAGGACGAACGCUGGCGGCGUGCUUAACACAUGCAAGUCGAACG
rnacentral:rRNA from 1 species